rnacentral:rRNA from 1 species
UAGAGUUUGAUCCUGGCUCAGAAUCAACGCUGGCGGCGUGCCUAACACAUGCAAGUCGAGCGAGAAAAGGGGAGCAAUCCCCUGAGUACAGCGGCGCACGGGUGAGUAACACGUGGGUAAUCUGCCCUGGAGUGGGGAAUAACACCGGGAAACCGGUGCUAAUACCGCAUACGAUCGCGAUGUCUGCGGACGUUGUGAUGAAAGGAGCAAUUCGCUCUAGGAGGAGCCCGCGGCUGAUUAGCUAGUUGGUGAGGUAACGGCUCACCAAGGCAACGAUCAGUAUCCGGUCUGAGAGGACGGUCGGACACACUGGAACUGAGACACGGUCCAGACUCCUACGGGAGGCAGCAGUGGGGAAUUUUUGGCAAUGGGGGAAACCCUGACCAAGCAACGCCGCGUGGGUGAUGAAGUCCCUUGGGACGUAAAACCCUUUCGACGGGGAAGAAACCGCAAGGUUGACGGUACCCGUAGAAGAAGCCCCGGCUAACUCCGUGCCAGCAGCCGCGGUAAUACGGGGGGGGCGAGCGUUGUUCGGAAUUACUGGGCGUAGAGGGUGCGUAGGCGGUUCGCUAAGUCGGAUGUGAAAACUCUGGGCUCAACCCAGAGCCUGCAUCCGAAACUGGCGGACUAGAGUUCUGGAGGGGGUAGCGGAAUUCCUGGUGUAGCGGUGAAAUGCGUAGAUAUCAGGAGGAACACCGGUGGCGGAGCUGCUACCUGGACAGAAACUGACGCUGAGCACGAAAGCUAGGGAGCAAACAGGAUUAGAUACCCUGGUAGUCCUAGUCCUAACGAUGCAUACUCGCUGUGACUGCGAUUGAAUCCCGUCGUGUCGACGCUACGCAUGAAGUAUCCCGCCUGGCGGAGUACAGUCGCAAGCUGAACUCGAAUGCAUUGACUGGUC